rfam:Sediminibacterium ginsengisoli strain DSM 22335 genome assembly, contig: Ga0070520_102
UAUGGUGGUUUUGCCGAGGGUGUUCACCUCUUCCCUUUCCGAACAGAGAAGUUAAGCCCCUCAUGGCCGAUGGUACUUGCAUUUUGCUGGGAGAGUAGGUAGCUGCCAUAU